UACGAAGGGUGCAAGCGUUGUUCGGAAUCACUGGGCGUAAAGCGUAUGUAGGUGGUUUGUUAAGUUAGGUGUGAAAUCCCAUGGCUUAACUGUGGAAGUGCAUCUAAUACUGAUAGACUAGAGUACUAUAGGGGGUGGUGGAAUUCCUAGUGUAGAGGUGAAAUUCGUAGAUAUUAGGAAGAACACCAGAGGCGAAGGCGGCCACCUGGAUAGAUACUGACACUAAGAUACGAAAGCGUGGGGAUCAAACAGG
rnacentral:rRNA from 1 species